UGAAGAGCAAAUCUGACUAGUGAUAUGGCAAAACCCCUGGAGACUGAAAAAGACAGAGCACUUAUUUCCCUAUUCCAAAGAAACUUUAACAAUAUGCCAUUAAUACACCAUUUUUAGCUCAUAAACCUCUUCCUGUGGCCUGAAGCACUAACAUUCCCAUACCUAGCUGGAAGAUCAGCUUUAGCCACUUAAAAGAUUACCCAGUGGAGACAUAAUCUGGGCUGCCCAUGCUGCCAAGGGAUAUAAACCUUUGCUCAUUCAGUGCAAUGGGAUAAUCAGUAACUGAACAAACCGGCAGAUGUGAGGUCUGGAGUGUUUUCCCCAGCCCACACAAAGACUGAACAACACAGCUCUUCUGUUGUCUGCCUUGUGAAAAUAGACCUCGAGUUCAAGGCUGUGUACAGUGGUUGGAUUUUUCUCAAGCCAUUGGAGUUCCAGCCAUGCCAAGCCCCUGGAGCUGAGGAGAGAUGAUUCUUUUUCUUUUUCUUGCCUCUGAAC
rnacentral:lncRNA from 1 species